rnacentral:tRNA from 1 species
GCGGGCGUAGUUCAAUGGUAGAACUCCAGCCUUCCAAGCUGGUCGUGCGGGUUCGAUUCCCGUCGCCCGCUCCA